UGAACGCUAGCGGCAGGCUUAACACAUGCAAGUCGAGGGGCAGCACUUGUAGCAAUACAUGGUGGCGACCGGCGCAAGGGUGCGUAACGCGUGAGCAACAUGCCCGUAUCAGGGGGAUAAUCCAGGGAAACUUGGUCUAAUACCCCAUAGCAAUUAUUUGAGGCAUCUUAAAUAAUUUAAAGCUUUGGUGGAUACGGAUUGGCUCGCGUGACAUUAGUUAGAUGGUAAGGUAACGGCUUACCAUGGCUACGAUGUCUAGGGGUUCUGAGAGGAAGAUCCCCCACACUGGAACUGAGACACGGUCCAGACUCCUACGGGAGGCAGCAGUGAGGAAUAUUGGACAAUGGAUGGAAAUCUGAUCCAGCCAUGCCGCGUGCAGGAAGACGGCCCUAUGGGUUGUAAACUGCUUUUGUGUGGGAGCAAUAAGGUCUAUGCGUAGACUGAUGAGAGUACCAUACGAAUAAGCAUCGGCUAACUCCGUG
rnacentral:rRNA from 1 species